UUCACAAAGCUCCUAACUGGUAGCAGUGAAGCUGGUGAAAUUGCUGCAGUCUUUGCUGGCCAUUCCACUCAUCACCACAGCCUCUGUAAUGAGGGCAUGGAGUGAGUGGAUUUCAAAAUCUCUUCAACUCUAAGUUACCCACCAGGAGUCCAAGGAGGAAGGAGUGAAGGGUGGUGGCAGGGCAGCCUUCUUAGACCAAAGUCUCCAGAAGUCAGGGCGGAGGCACAGGGCCGGUGCCUGAGACUGGCUGCUGCUGAGAGCUUGGCACUGGACAGAGAUAAACCCCACAGUCACCAGAGAGAGGAGGAGUCAGGAUUUGAACUCAGUUCCAUCCAAAAGCCAUACUCUUUGUAAUCUACAUGUUGCUCUUCAGUCUGUGGCCUCUCUGGAUUGACAUUACCAAAGCGGCAUGUGACUACAAACUCAGCAACCACAAGGACAGAAACUGCCUGAGGGAUGCGUGGGGCCAAAACAUCCACCUGCUUCUGGUGUUUUUCUUUGGGAU